rnacentral:rRNA from 1 species
ACUACGGGUGGCAGCAGUGGGGAAUAUUGGGCAAUGGGCGCAAGCCUGACCCAGCAACGCCGCGUGAAGGAAGAAGGCCCUCGGGUUGUAAACUUCUUUUAUCAGGGACGAAGAAAGUGACGGUACCUGAUGAAUAAGCCACGGCGAACUACGGGCCAGCAGCGGCGGUAAUACGUAGGUGGCAAGCUUAAUCCGGAUUUACGGGGGUGAAAGGGCGUGUAGGCGGGAAAGCAAGUCAGCUGUGAAACCAUGGGCUCAACCUGUGGCCUGCAUUUGAAACUGUUUUUCUUGAGUACUGGAGAAGCAGACGGAAUUCCUAGUGUAGCGGUGAAAUGCGUAGAUAUUAGGAGGAACGCCAGGGGCGAAGGCGGUCUGCUGGACAGCAACUGACGCUGAGGCGCGAAAGCGUGGGGAGCAAACAGGAUUAGAUACCCUUGUAGUC